GGGACGCUACUGCGCAUGUUCGCUCAGGGAGGCCAAAGCCGCAAAUCGUCCGGAGGGAGUCGGCGCAGAGUGACCCUUUCCCCGGCCCGUCGCUCUGAGUCGCAGCUGGUUAGUGACAUUGAAGAGUCUCCGGCCUGGCCCUGCCCGAGAGACUCGGCGCCGCAGGGACGGAGGUUGGACACGCCCGGGCCCAGCACCAUGUGGGCCGCCGCCGCCGGCAGAGCUACUAAGAUGUUGGAAAGGAAUGUUUCUUCAAUUCUGAGACCAACUAAAGGAAUGGAUCUGAAGAUCAAGAGAGGUUUUUGCAGUAAAUCACAGGAGGGGAGCAAACAAAACCCUGAAGUAGGGGGGCAUUCCACCUUCAAAGUGCCAGGACACAAGCCUUCAGAUUGGGAAAAGAAGGUUCUGCUGUGGUCAGGCCGUUUCAAAAAAGUAGAUGAUAUACCAGAGACUGUCUCGUUUGAGUUGAUCGAUGCUGCGCGAAAUAAAUUGCGUGUGAAGAUCAGCUACCUGAUGAUUGCCCUGACAGCACUGGGAUGCAUCGCGAUGGUCAUUGAAGGAAAGCGGGUGCAUACAGACAUAAAACAGACCAACGUACAAGCCUCUUAAACUGCACUCAAUCUAUACAGUCUUCAUAAAUGUCGUUGGUUACGUAGUUAGGAGUGUUAGUCAGAACCUGGAACUAAAAUCCUUCAUUGGCUGUCGGAAGACAUGAAUCCCUUACAACCCAAAACAUGGAAAGAAAAGCUCGCUGGAGAGAGGAGGUUGCUCAGAGUGCAUCUGCCAAACCCUAGGAGAGGGAGGAGACCUGGUGAGAAGGAUACAAAGAUGAUGCUUUCUUCAUUGAUGAGAGAGGGGUAGAUCUUCAUGUGUUUUGCUUUUACAUUAUGGUCCUCUGCUCUUAUGCUUUAGGAAAGACAAAUAAAUUAUUUUGUAGUAAUACUAAAAA